rnacentral:rRNA from 1 species
GACGAACGCUGGCGGCGUGCUUAACACAUGCAAGUCGAACGGAAAGGCCCUGCUUUUGUGGGGUGCUCGAGUGGCGAACGGGUGAGUAACACGUGAGUAACCUGCCCUUGACUUUGGGAUAACUUCAGGAAACUGGGGCUAAUACCGGAUAGGAGCUCCUGCUGCAUGGUGGGGGUUGGAAAGUUUCGGCGGUUGGGGAUGGACUCGCGGCUUAUCAGCUUGUUGGUGGGGUAGUGGCUUACCAAGGCUUUGACGGGUAGCCGGCCUGAGAGGGUGACCGGCCACAUUGGGACUGAGAUACGGCCCAGACUCCUACGGGAGGCAGCAGUGGGGAAUAUUGCACAAUGGGCGGAAGCCUGAUGCAGCAACGCCGCGUGCGGGAUGACGGCCUUCGGGUUGUAAACCGCUUUCGCCUGUGACGAAGCGUGAGUGACGGUAAUGGGUAAAGAAGCACCGGCUAACUACGUGCCAGCAGCCGCGGUGAUACGUAGGGUGCGAGCGUUGUCCGGAUUUAUUGGGCGUAAAGGGCUCGUAGGUGGUUGAUCGCGUCGGAAGUGUAAUCUUGGGGCUUAACCCUGAGCGCGCUUUCGAUACGGGUUGACUUGAGGAAGGUAGGGGAGAAUGGAAUUCCUGGUGGAGCGGUGGAAUGCGCAGAUAUCAGGAGGAACACCAGUGGCGAAGGCGGUUCUCUGGGCCUUUCCUGACGCUGAGGAGCGAAAGCGUGGGGAGCGAACAGGCUUAGAUAUCCUGGUAGUCCACGCUGUAAACGGUGGGUACUAGGUGUGGGGUCCAUUCCACGGGUUCCGUGCCGUAGCUAACGCUUUAAGUACCCCGCCUGGGGAGUACGGCCGCAAGGCUAAAACUCAAAGGAAUUGACGGGGCCCCGCACAAGCGGCGGAGCAUGCGGAUUAAUUCGAUGCAACGCGUAGAACCUUACCUGGGUUUGACAUGGAUCGGGAGCGCUCAGAGAUGGGUGUGCCUCUUUUGGGGUCGGUUCACAGGUGGUGCAUGGCUGUCGUCAGCUCGUGUCGUGAGAUGUUGGGUUAAGUCCCGCAACGAGCGCAACCCUUGUUCACUGUUGCCAGCACGUUAUGGUGGGGACUCAGUGGAGACCGCCGGGGUCAACUCGGAGGAAGGUGGGGAUGACGUCAAGUCAUCAUGCCCCUUAUGUCCAGGGCUUCACGCAUGCUACAAUGGCUGGUACAGAGAGUGGCGAGCCUGUGAGGGUGAGCGAAUCUCGGAAAGCCGGUCUCAGUUCGGAUUGGGGUCUGCAACUCGACCUCAUGAAGUCGGAGUCGCUAGUAAUCGCAGAUCAGCAACGCUGCGGUGAAUACGUUCCCGGGGCU